UACGGAAGGCAGCAGUGGGGAAUAUUGCACAAUGGGCGCAAGCCUGAUGCAGCCAUGCCGCGUGUAUGAAGAAGGCCUUCGGGUUGUAAAGUACUUUCAGCGGGGAGGAAGGCGAUGUGGUUAAUAACCGCGUCGAUUGACGUUACCCGCAGAAGAAGCACCGGCUAACUCCGUGCCAGCAGCCGCGGUAAUACGGAGGGUGCAAGCGUUAAUCGGAAUUACUGGGCGUAAAGCGCACGCAGGCGGUCUGUUUAAGUCAGAUGUGAAAUCCCCCGGGCUUAACCUGGGAACUGCAUUUUGAAACUGGCAGGCUUGAGUCUCGUAGAGGGGGUAGAAUUCCAGGUGUAGCGGUGAAAUGCGUAGAGAUCUGGAGGAAUACCGGUGGCGAAGGCGGGCCCCUGGGACGAAGACUGACGCUCAGGUGCGAAAGCGUGGGGAGCAAACGAGGAUUAGGAUACC
rnacentral:rRNA from 1 species